rnacentral:lncRNA from 1 species
GGGACUCACCAGACUGGUGGCUGGAGUGGCCUGGGACUGAGCCUGAUUGAGAUGACUCUCAGCUUCCCUGUUCGCCAGGACAAGGUAGAAUAAAAUGUGUCCUGAACCAACCUGCAUGAACCUGGAAGAAACUAGCUGAAGACGGGGACACAAAGAGGAUUAGUGAGAAUGUGUUAACUGCUGUGGUCUCAAAGCGUUUUCUUAGGACCUCUUCAC